UCCGGUUUAACACCGGCGGUCUCCCUAGAGUGCCCAACUGAAUGAUGGCAACUAAGGACAAGGGUUGCGCUCGUUAAGGGACUUAACCCGACAUCUCACGAUACGAGCUGACGACAGCCAUGCAGCACCUAAACCACAGGUCCCCGAAGGGAAAAUCCCGUUUCUGGGACUGUCCUGUGUUGUCUAGCCCAGGUAAGGUUCUUCGCGUUGCAUCGAAUUGAACCACAUGCUCCACCGCUUGUGCGGGCCCCCGUCAAUUCCUUUGAGUUUUAAUCUUGCGACCGUACUUCCCAGGCGGGGUACUUAAUGCGUUAGCUUCGGCACUGCAGGGGUCAAUUCCCGCAACACCUAGUACCCAUCGUUUACAGCGUGGACUAC
rnacentral:misc_RNA from 1 species